rnacentral:rRNA from 1 species
CAGCCGCCGCGGGAAUACGUAGGUGGCAAGCGUUGUCCGGAAUUAUUGGGCGUAAAGGGCUCGCAGGCGGUUUCUUAAGUCUGAUGUGAAAGCCCCCGGCUCAACCGGGGAGGGUCAUUGGAAACUGGGAAACUUGAGUGCAGAAGAGGAGAGUGGAAUUCCACGUGUAGCGGUGAAAUGCGUAGAGAUGUGGAGGAACACCAGUGGCGAAGGCGACUCUCUGGUCUGUAACUGACGCUGUGGAGCGAAAGCGUGGGGAGCGAACAGGAUUAGAUACCCCAGUAGUCCCUGUCUCUUAUAC